ACUAACCUUGCCUUAAGUCCCUCUUCAGAAACCGGAUCCGUAACAGAGGAAUCGGGUCAACAAUAGGCAAUAUGGGCGUGACGCCGAAAAUUGCACCAUCAAUGCUUUCAUCGGAUUUCGCUAAUUUGGCAUCGGAGGCAGAACGCAUGCUUAAUUGCGGCGCUGAUUGGCUACACAUGGACAUCAUGGAUGGGUAUGCUAGAUUCUCUUGCACGUAGCAAAUUAUUCUGGCCUUGAAAUUGAGUUGAUAAAACUUGGAUUUUUGAAAUUAUGGUUCUUUUCCGCUACCCAAUUUUUCUUUCAUGUUGAUGGAUUAAGCAAUUUUAUUUUUCAAUAUAAUUGUCAGUUGUGAGAUUGAGCUUUUUAUAUUGCUGUGAGAAUUAAUUUUUGAUUUGCUGCAGGCUCAGCUUUAAAGCAGGAAUCUUUAACAUCUAGCUGCUCUAAAGGCGCUAAAAAUGGGAAAUGGAAAUAAUGUUUGAGGCCUAGGUUAUCUAUUAGGAAACUGUAGGAGUUAAAUUAGUUUAGUACAAAAUAGAAGAUGGGAACUCUUGAAUGAAUGUUUUGGUUCAAGAAAUAUUAUAUUUUGUAGAAAUAAAAUGAGAGAAUAUUUGGAUAAGUAAUAGUUAACAUAAGACUAGAUUAGAAUGUCUUGUUUUCUUUGCAGUAAACGACUUUUAUGGUGUGAUGUGAUACAGAGUUUCAUGUGAUUUUUAGAGUUUCAAAACAUGCUUACUACUAGCUAUUGUUGUUAAUGUUGACUUGUUAUGUCCUUGCUAAGAUUUAACAAAGUAUUUGCUUUGUCCAUCAAUGAUCCAACUGUUCUUUUUUCUUAGUGAAUGGGUUAACAUUCAUUUUCAUUUUCGUUUAGGCACUUUGUCCCAAAUCUAACCAUUGGUGCUCCAGUCAUUGAGAGUUUGAGAAAACACACAAAGUAAUGUCUUGCAUCCUUAUUAUCUUACUCGAUUGAUCCUUUUUACAUUUGCAUCUUUUCGAAGUUCUAACUACUUACAGCCUAUGGCACUAUGUUGCGUGGUUAUUCUGUUGUAGGGCAUAUUUGGAUUGCCACCUUAUGGUCACCAAUCCUCUUGAUUAUGUUGAGCCUUUGGGCAAAGCUGGUGCUUCUGGAUUUACAUUUCACGUUGAAGCAUCCAGAGAAAACUGGAGAGAACUAAUCCAGAGAAUCAAGUCAAAAGGCAUGAGGCCUGGUGUAGCUUUAAAUCCUGGAACUCCUAUCGAAGAAGUUUAUCCUUUGGUAUAAAUUUUUUCUCCCCACUUUCAUAAAAUAAAAGAAUUUUCCAGUUUUUGUGUUUGCAAUUUUGUAGAUUUGAUGCCCUGGGAUACAUAGCAUAUGUUGUUUCACAGGUUGAGUUUGAAAAUCCUGUGGAAAUGGUCCUUGUCUUGACUGUGGAACCUGGAUUUGGAGGACAAAAGUUCAUGCCAGAUAUGAUGGAUAAGGUAAAGACAUUGAGGAAGAAGUAUCCAUCCCUUGAUAUAGAGGUGAGUCCAUUUCUAUUUUAUUAUCUUUGUCUUUCUGGCACUUCUGAAAUUAAAGUUCUGAUUCCUGAGCUUCAUUUUAGACAGGCAUGCUUUAGCUUGCUUAUUAGAUGCUCCAAUUUGGUUAUUGUUAGAAGAAAAACCUUUUUGGUAUUGUGAUUUGAAGAAUUUAAAGUAACUCAAAUCUUUGGAACUUCUGAAAACAUUUAGGUAUUUUUCCUAGGCAUUGUUGUAACACCGAUACAUUAUUAUCUUAUUGUUUGCAACAAAUGGGUUUCCUCAUGCUUCUUUGACUUCUCUGCUCUUUCAGACUACUUUGGUCCCUGUUUUUGCAUCCCUUGUGCGUGUGCACAUGCAUGUCACAGAAAUUGAGAAAGAUAAUUUCUUCGUGCUUGCCUGCAUGAUCACUUGUUAAAAUGUGAAACUUUUUUGCAGGUGGAUGGUGGUUUAGGGCCUUCAACAAUUGACAUGGCAGCUUCAGCUGGUGCAAACUGCAUUGUGGCAGGAAGUUCAGUGUUUGGAGCCCCUGAGCCAGCCCAUGUAAUAUCACUUAUGAGAAAGAGUGUUGAGGAAGGUCAGAAAAACAAUUGAUGUUCAUACAGGCAAGAUACAUCAUGACUGGAUUUCAGGCAGCAAAAUAUGCCUAAAGACUACAUUUUCAUUCGAUUGUUGGAAUUUACAAAUGUUAUGAUUUUAUUUGUUUUGUUAUUUGUCACUCAUUUUCUCACUCGGAAUUGUAUGCAACUUUGUAUGGUAAUAAGACUCACUGAAGACCUUCAUGAAGGUGAGUUAAAUUGAUACAUGUGCUAUGUGAAACUGUUUGAUCAAAAUCCUACAAUAAAAUCUAUCCUUUA
rnacentral:misc_RNA from 1 species